AGUUUGACUGGGGCGGUCUCCUCCCAAAGAGUAACGGAGGAGCACGAAGGUUGGCUAAUCCUGGUCGGACAUCAGGAGGUUAGUGCAAUGGCAUAAGCCAGCUUGACUGCGAGAGUGACGGCUCGAGCAGGUGCGAAAGCAGGUCAUAGUGAUCCGGUGGUUCUGAAUGGAAGGGCCAUCGCUCAACGGAUAAAAGGUACUCCGGGGAUAACAGGCUGAUACCGCCCAAGAGUUCAUAUCGACGGCGGUGUUUGGCACCUCGAUGUCGGCUCAUCACAUCCUGGGGCUGAAGUAGGUCCCAAGGGUACGGCUGUUCGCCGUUUAAAGUGGUACGCGAGCUGGGUUUAGAACGUCGUGAGACAGUUCGGUCCCUAUCUGCCGUGGGCGCUGGAGAAUUGAGGGGGGUUGCUCCUAGUACGAGAGGACCGGAGUGAACGCACCACUGGUGUUCGGGUUGUCAUGCCAAUGGCAUUGCCCGGUAGCUAAGUGCGGAAAAGAUAAGUGCUGAAAGCAUCUAAGCACGAAACUUGCCCCGAGAUGAGUUCUCCCUGACUCCCAGAGAGUCCUGAAGGGACGUUGAAGACGACGACGUUGAUAGGCCGGAUGUGUAAGUGCAGCGAUGCAUUGAGCUAACCGGUACUAAUGACCCGUGAGGCUUAACCU
rnacentral:rRNA from 1 species